UACGUAGGGGGCAAGCGUUGUCCGGAAUCAUUGGGCGUAAAGCGCGUGUAGGCGGCUGAGUAAGUCUGCUCUGAAAGCCCGGGGCUCAACCCCGGGAGGCGGGUGGAUACUGCUCAGCUCGAGUCCGGAAGAGGAGUGUGGAAUUCCUGGUGUAGCGGUGAAAUGCGCAGAUAUCAGGAGGAACACCGGUGGCGAAGGCGGUUCUCUGGGCCUUACCUGACACUGAGGAGCGAAAGCGUGGGGAGCGAACAGG
rnacentral:rRNA from 1 species